AGAACCUGAAACCGUGUGCUUACAAGUAGUCAGAGCCCGUUAAUGGGUGAUGGCGUGCCUUUUGUAGAAUGAACCGGCGAGUUACGAUUUGAUGCAAGGUUAAGCAGUAAAUGUGGAGCCGUAGCGAAAGCGAGUCUGAAUAGGGCGUUUAGUAUUUGGUCGUAGACCCGAAACCAGGUGAUCUACCCUUGGUCAGGUUGAAGUUCAGGUAACACUGAAUGGAGGACCGAACCGACUUACGUUGAAAAGUGAGCGGAUGAACUGAGGGUAGCGGAGAAAUUCCAAUCGAACCUGGAGAUAGCUGGUUCUCUCCGAAAUAGCUUUAGGGCUAGCCUCAAGUGAUGAUUAUUGGAGGUAGAGCACUGUUUGGACGAGGGGCCCCUCUCGGGUUACCGAAUUCAGACAAACUCCGAAUGCCAAUUAAUUUAACUUGGGAGUCAGAACAUGGGUGAUAAGGUCCGUGUUCGAAAGGGAAACAGCCCAGACCACCAGCUAAGGUCCCAAAAUAUAUGUUAAGUGGAAAAGGAUGUGGCGUUGCCCAGACAACUAGGAUGUUGGCUUAGAAGCAGCCAUCAUUUAAAGAGUGCGUAAUAGCUCACUAGUCGAGUGACACUGCGCCGAAAAUGUACCGGGGCUAAACAUAUUACCGAAGCUGUGGAUUGUCCUUUGGACAAUGGUAGGAGAGCGUUCUAAGGGCGUUGAAGCAUGAUCGUAAGGACAUGUGGAGCGCUUAGAAGUGAGAAUGCCGGUGUGAGUAGCGAAAGACGGGUGAGAAUCCCGUCCACCGAUUGACUAAGGUUUCCAGAGGAAGGCUCGUCCGCUCUGGGUUAGUCGGGUCCUAAGCUGAGGCCGACAGGCGUAGGCGAUGGAUAACAGGUUGAUAUUCCUGUACCACCUAUAAUCGUUUUAAUCGAUGGGGGGACGCAGUAGGAUAGGCGAAGCGUGCGAUUGGAUUGCACGUCUAAGCAGUAAGGCUGAGUAUUAGGCAAAUCCGGUACUCGUUAAGGCUGAGCUGUGAUGGGGAGAAGACAUUGUGUCUUCGAGUCGUUGAUUUCACACUGCCGAGAAAAGCCUCUAGAUAGAAAAUAGGUGCCCGUACCGCAAACCGACACAGGUAGUCAAGAUGAGAAUUCUAAGGUGAGCGAGCGAACUCUCGUUAAGGAACUCGGCAAAAUGACCCCGUAACUUCGGGAGAAGGGGUGCUCUUUAGGGUUAACGCCCAGAAGAGCCGCAGUGAAUAGGCCCAAGCGACUGUUUAUCAAAAACACAGGUCUCUGCUAAACCGUAAGGUGAUGUAUAGGGGCUGACGCCUGCCCGGUGCUGGAAGGUUAAGAGGAGUGGUUAGCUUCUGCGAAGCUACGAAUCGAAGCCCCAGUAAACGGCGGCCGUAACUAUAACGGUCCUAAGGUAGCGAAAUUCCUUGUCGGGUAAGUUCCGACCCGCACGAAAGGCGUAACGAUUUGGGCACUGUCUCAACGAGAGACUCGGUGAAAUCAUAGUACCUGUGAAGAUGCAGGUUACCCGCGACAGGACGGAAAGACCCCGUGGAGCUUUACUGUAGCCUGAUAUUGAAAUUCGGCACAGCUUGUACAGGAUAGGUAGGAGCCUUUGAAACGUGAGCGCUAGCUUACGUGGAGGCGCUGGUGGGAUACUACCCUAGCUGUGUUGGCUUUCUAACCCGCACCACUUAUCGUGGUGGGAGACAGUGUCAGGCGGGCAGUUUGACUGGGGCGGUCGCCUCCUAAAAGGUAACGGAGGCGCUCAAAGGUUCCCUCAGAAUGGUUGGAAAUCAUUCAUAGAGUGUAAAGGCAUAAGGGAGCUUGACUGCGAGACCUACAAGUCGAGCAGGGUCGAAAGACGGACUUAGUGAUCCGGUGGUUCCGCAUGGAAGGGCCAUCGCUCAACGGAUAAAAGCUACCCCGGGGAUAACAGGCUUAUCUCCCCCAAGAGUUCACAUCGACGGGGAGGUUUGGCACCUCGAUGUCGGCUCAUCGCAUCCUGGGGCUGUAGUCGGUCCCAAGGGUUGGGCUGUUCGCCCAUUAAAGCGGUACGCGAGCUGGGUUCAGAACGUCGUGAGACAGUUCGGUCCCUAUCCGUCGUGGGCGUAGGAAAUUUGAGAGGAGCUGUCCUUAGUACGAGAGGACCGGGAUGGACAUACCUCUGGUGUACCAGUUGUCGUGCCAACGGCAUAGCUGGGUAGCUAUGUGUGGACGGGAUAAGUGCUGAAAGCAUCUAAGCAUGAAGCCCCCCUCAAGAUGAGAUUUCCCAACUUCGGUUAUAAGAUCCCUCAAAGAUGAUGAGGUUAAUAGGUUCGAGGUGGAAGCAUGGUGACAUGUGGAGCUGACGAAUACUAA
rnacentral:rRNA from 1 species